CCACCCUGCGAUCCCGCUUGUUGUCGUGUCUUGCCCCCUCCUCUCCAGCGGCUGAGAGCGCGUUACCCAGCCGUUUCCCCCGCUAGCUGAGUGCAUUCAUUCAAAUCUUGGGGCUAGGUCAGCAUCGCGGGCGGUGCCCUGAGGUCGGCGGUGCAGCGUCCUGCAUGCACGUGCCUUGUGAGUUGGUGUCCGCCGUCUGAGCUGAAUGGGCCUCAGAACGUCGCUUUUGUGUUCCCGUUUUUCUAUGGAAAGAUACGCUUGAGUAACCGGACAUGGUCUCACAAUCAAGCAGGUGGUGGAAUGACGGCUUCAGAGACCAGCCUUCCAGUCCUGACCCACCGUGGAACUUGCAGUAAUGACUCCAGCGCUUCAAGUUUCGGCUUCGUCCCCUUCGAGACGAAGGGCUUGGCCUAGGAGACUGCCUCCAGUUCUAAAGUGCUGUGGUCCCAGGGCGUCCAUCGUUGGAGGUGAAUUCACGCAUGUCACCGAUCACACGAAUUACUGUAAAACCUCCUCCCUGAACCGUUCGUUCUUUACCAAUAUUUACUGAGCACCAGCUGUGGGAGAGACUUGAACUAGACAUUGUGAAUGCAAAGAAGUGUGAUACUCUGAAGCAAUAAACAGUUUUCGUGGAGU